rnacentral:lncRNA from 1 species
CUAGUGGUUUUUAUGGAUCCAUUUCAACUCGUCAUUGGUGGUCGUGCUUUGAUAAUGAUGUCUCAUUUUGGGUGGCAUCAUCACACCAUGUAGGCUGUUGGACUCGUUAAUCUCUAGAUGCUGUAGUCAUAGUUUCUUAGAAUGUUUUGGUCAUCCCCAUGUAGGGAGACAUGGUGGAGGAUCAUCUUACCAAUGUCUGGAUGCUGUAGUCAUAAUUUCUUGAAUGG